rnacentral:tRNA from 1 species
GGGCCUAUAGUAUAGUGGUAACACGCAUCCAUGGCAUGGAUGAGUCGGGGGUUCGACUCCCCCUAGGUCCACCA